rnacentral:rRNA from 1 species
AACUGCGAGUGAAGCGGGAAAAGCUCAAAUUUAAAAUCUGGCAGUCUUUUGGCUGUCCGAGUUGUAAUUUAGAGAAGCGUCUUCCGCGCCGGACCGUGCACAAGUCUCCUGGAAUGGAGCGUCAUAGAGGGUGAGAAUCCCGUCUUUGGCAUGGACACCCGGGGCUUCUGCGAUGCGCUCUCGAAGAGUCGAGUUGUUUGGGAAUGCAGCUCAAAAUGGGUGGUGAACUCCAUCUAAAGCUAAAUAUUGGCGAGAGACCGAUAGCGAACAAGUACCGUGAGGGAAAGAUGAAAAGCACUUUGGAAAGAGAGUGAAACAGUACGUGAAAUUGUUGAAAGGGAAACGCUUGAAGUCAGUCGCGUCGAUCGAGACUCAGCCUUGCCUUGGCUUGGCAUACUUCUCGGCUGACGGGCCAGCAUCAAUUUUGUCUCUCGGAUAAUGGCAAGGGAAAGGUGGCACCUUUACCGGUGUGUUAUAGUCUCCUGUCGCAUGCGAGGGGUGGGAUUGAGGAACUCAGCACGCACCUCUUGGUGUCGGGGCUUCUGCCC